rnacentral:rRNA from 1 species
UACGAGGGGUGCAAGCGUUGUUCGGAAUUACUGGGCGUAAAGCGUGAGGAGGCGGUUCGCUAAGUCUGAUGUGAAAGCCCUGGGCUUAACCCAGGAACUGCAUCGGAAACUGGCGGACUAGAGUUCGGGAGAGGGUCGUGGAAUUCUUGGUGUAGAGGUGAAAUUCGUAGAUAUCAAGAGGAACACCGGUGGCGAAGGCGGCGACCUGGACC